rnacentral:rRNA from 1 species
AUACGUAGGGUGCAAGCGUUAAUCGGAAUUACUGGGCGUAAAGCGUGCGCAGGCGGUUUUGUAAGACAGAGGUGAAAUCCCCGGGCUCAACCUGGGAACUGCCUUUGAUCCUGCAAAGCUAGAGUACGGCAGAGGGGGAUGGAAUUCCCGGCUAAGCAGUGGAAGGCGUAGAUAUGCGGAGGAACACCGAUGGCGAAGGCAAUCCCCUGGGCCUGUACUGACGCUCAUGCACGAAAGCGUGGGGAGCAAACAGGAUUAGAUACCCUGGUAGUCCACGCCCUAAACGAUGUCAACUGGUUGUUGGGUCUUCAUUGACUCAGUAACGAAGCUAACGCGUGAAGUUGACCGCCUGGGGAGUACGGCCGCAAGGUUGAAACUCAAAUGAAUUGACGGGG